CCUACGGGAGGCAGCAGUCGAGAAUCAUUCACAAUGGGGGAAACCCUGAUGGUGCGACGCCGCGUGGGGGAAUGAAGGUCUUCGGAUUGUAAACCCCUGUCAUGUGGGAGCAAAUUAAAAAGAUAGUACCACAAGAGGAAGAGACGGCUAACUCUGUGCCAGCAGCCGCGGUAAUACAGAGGUCUCAAGCGUUGUUCGGAAUCACUGGGCGUAAAGCGUGCGUAGGCUGUUUCGUAAGUCGUGUGUGAAAGGCGCGGGCUCAACCCGCGGACGGCACAUGAUACUGCGAGACUAGAGUAAUGGAGGGGGAACCGGAAGUCUGGGUGUAGCAGUGAAAUGCGGAGAUAUGGAGAGGAACAAUCGUGGAGAAGGCGGGUUCCUGGACAUUAACUGACGCUGAGGCACGAAGGCCAGGGGAGCGAAAGGGAUUAGAUACCCUGGUAGUC
rnacentral:rRNA from 1 species